GUCUAUGGUCAUGCUACCCUGAACAAGCCCGAUCCCAUCUGAUCUCGGAAGCUAAGCAGGGUGGGCCUGAUUAGUACUUGGAUGGGAGACCACCUAAGAAGACCAGAUGAUAUAGGCA
rnacentral:rRNA from 1 species